AAAUUGAAGAGUUUGAUCAUGGCUCAGAUUGAACGCUGGCGGCAGGCCUAACACAUGCAAGUCGAACGGUAACAGGAAGCAGCUUGCUGCUUCGCUGACGAGUGGCGGACGGGUGAGUAAUGUCUGGGAAACUGCCUGAUGGAGGGGGAUAACUACUGGAAACGGUGGCUAAUACCGCAUAACGUCGCAAGACCAAAGAGGGGGACCUUCGGGCCUCUUGCCAUCAGAUGUGCCCAGAUGGGAUUAGCUUGUUGGUGAGGUAACGGCUCACCAAGGCGACGAUCCCUAGCUGGUCUGAGAGGAUGACCAGCCACACUGGAACUGAGACACGGUCCAGACUCCUACGGGAGGCAGCAGUGGGGAAUAUUGCACAAUGGGCGCAAGCCUGAUGCAGCCAUGCCGCGUGUAUGAAGAAGGCCUUCGGGUUGUAAAGUACUUUCAGCGGGGAGGAAGGUGUUGCGGUUAAUAACCGCAGCAAUUGACGUUACCCGCAGAAGAAGCACCGGCUAACUCCGUGCCAGCAGCCGCGGUAAUA
rnacentral:rRNA from 1 species